rnacentral:rRNA from 1 species
UGGUGCCUAUGGCAUUGUGGACCCACUCCGAUCCAUCCCGAACUCGGUUGUGAAACGCAAUAGCGGCAAAAAUACUUGGGGAGUAGUCCCCUGGGAAAAUAGCUCGGUGCC